rnacentral:rRNA from 1 species
CCUACGGGCGGCUGCAGUGAGGAAUAUUGGUCAAUGGACGAGAGUCUGAACCAGCCAAGUAGCGUGAAGGAUGACUGCCCUAUGGGUUGUAAACUUCUUUUAUAUGGGAAUAAAACAGGGUAUGUAUACCCUCUUGUAUGUACCAUAUGAAUAAGGAUCGGCUAACUCCGUGCCAGCAGCCGCGGUAAUACGGAGGAUCCGAGCGUUAUCCGGAUUUAUUGGGUUUAAAGGGAGCGUAGGUGGAUUGUUAAGUCAGUUGUGAAAGUUUGCGGCUCAACCGUAAAAUUGCAGUUGAAACUGGCGGUCUUGAGUACAGUAGAGGUAAGCGGAAUUCGUGGUGUAGCGGUGAAAUGCGUAGAUAUUACGAAGAACUCCAGUGGCGAAGGCAGCUCACUGGACUGCAACUGACGCUGAUGCUCGAAAGUGUGGGUAUCAAACAGGAUUAGAUACCCUGGUAGUC